rnacentral:rRNA from 1 species
CAAAUAUUUAAAAUAAUUUUAAUUAAAGAAUUUUAUUAAUAGAUUUAUAA